ensembl:lncRNA
GAAAUAUAUACACCUUGAUUGUGUGCCGGGAGGUGGGUGCUGUCAGGAAAUGGGACAUGUAGCCAUGGUCAAUCACAAGUUGUGACAAAACGGAGUUAUCUUUGUAGUAGGCAUGUCACAAGAACCGUUACUUCGGUACCAACAUUCUUAAAACGUGAUGGUACUUGUUUUACUGCCGGUUCUAAUGGAGUUACCGAGGUUGCAAUUCUUCCGGAACUGAAGGGGGCAGCAAGUACGCGCAAGUGUUUUAGUCAGUCCACAAGUGGUGAAGAAGAAGAACGCCUACAAGCACACGGGGAAAACUACAGAAGAUUAGCUUAGCUUAACAAGUUUAGCUCUGCCUGACUCAUUGAGAGGAAAAGCGAGGAAAGCUAGUAUCGGUUUCCGUUGUUUAACCGAUGCUAUCGUUCAUUUCAAACAAAGCGAGCAAAACACCUGGAAUUUGGCGAAGCACCUGAAAGACGGUCCUAUAUUUUGUUUGUUUGAGGCAGCUGGCAUUGUUGCCGUGAAACCAGCUAACGUUAUGCUCCAUGUAAUGUUAGCGAUAGCCUGUUAUUUGUUAACGACGCGAACACAUUGCAAUGUUAUAAACUACCUCCGAAUGGGCCACCAUGUAUCGCCAUUCAGCCCGUGUCCUGUCAGCAAACUGUAGCCUAAUGUCACUACUAAUUAUUCAAAUGUUCAUGCUUUUAAUAAAUCUUUUUGGCCUGCCAGCAUAUCAGAGAACUUAAACUAAUGCUUGCAGAGUAUAAGGUGUGUGUGCGUGCACAGGUUUAGGAGUGCACCUCCACUCAUUGUCAGACAGUGUUUGAUAACUAAAAUUCUCUCUCUCUCGCUCGCUCUCGCUCGCUCUCUGCCAGUAUAAGCCAGAGGAGGAUGUCCUCCAGGAGGGUUUUUAAUUUAAUUUUUUUUAUUUUUAUACCACACCGUGGUAUCGACUUUGAUAUCGAGUAUCAUGUACUUUUGGUGGUAUCGGUACCGAAUACUAGAUUUUUGGUAUCGUGACAUCCCUACUUUGUAGGCUUCAUCAGAAAUUCUGCAGUAUUGAGUGUGUUUUACUUCCAAUAUAACAGUAUAUCAGAUGAACUGAUGAAUGAGGGCAGUGAAUAUUGUAGUAAAAGCUGUUUUUAAAUCAGGAGUGUUGACAUCAGUGCUUGACAGCAAGAAGCUAAAAUCACAUUAGAUUUCUGACCUACGCGUGUUAAGGAGCUGCCAAUGUCUUUUACACUGAUAAUCCAGAUAGCCUUUCCCAUAAUACACACAUUGAUGAGGAAACGAAACAAAUGUCCUGUGAAAGCAAUAUUAGUCAUAUUUUGUAUGUACGGUGUGUGUGUUCUGUAAAACACACAGACACACACACAGCAAUUAUUUAGACAUUACUUAGUAUAAUACUGCUCUAGAGAGCCAGAACAAACGUUUUCCUAACUCUCCUGGCAUUACCCUCCUGCAUACUGUCAUUCACACACACACACACACACACACACACACACACACACACACACACACGCAUGUUCCCACACACCAGCCACAAAUGCAUACAGCUCUGAACAAAGGUGCCAUUUUCCUCAGGAAGGGUCAGCAGUUGCCUCAGUCAGACAGGCGCUUGUUCUUGGUCGGACGCUGCCCAAUCUCAGGCUCGGCCACUAUGCCACCUAAAUUCCACCCACCCCCAUUCCAGGCCCUACUACCCUGGAGACAAGCUCCUUAUUGUUUCUACACCAUAAUAAAUGACAACUCUCCUACUCAGACAAACUUCAGAGACAUUCUAAACACACACAAGAGAAACAGAGAGACAGUCAGAGCAAAGAGUGUAGGGUUGAAUUUGGAAACGCAACAUCCAUCUAUGCCACCAUGUUGCCAAUACACAUGUGCAGAAUUACAGGCACCCUUGGAAGAUGGGUAAAGAUGGGUAAACUGUUAUAAAACUAACUUAAUUAGCUUAAUCUCACACUGAACACAUGAGAGAAAUCUAACAAUUAACUGAUGUAGAAUUUGUUUCAUUUCAUUUCAGUGUUCUCUAAUCCUUCCCAUGUUGAUGAAUGGCCAAAGGAAUUUGGCAUCUGUGUAAAACAGGAAGUCAUGGAUGACCACUUAAGAAUUCCUAAACACUCAGGUGAAAAGUAUAAAUAUAAGUCCAAUUUAAUAUAAUUUGGAAUAUGUUUCAGUUGCAUACUAACUAACACAGUGGCAUCCUGUACACCUACCAUAUAUGAGAAACUGCCAUUGACAUUAUAAUAUUAGGUUACUAUUUGGAUGGUGGACCAUUGUCAGCACAGCAGUUACAGUGACAUGGCAGUGGCAUCUUAGUGUGUGUGACACUUGUACAAGUAUAUCAGGCACAGUGACUUUGCUGGGAAAUUACAUUUUGAGGCUGUAUAUGCCAUCAGUUAAUGACCACAUGACAGUUGAUAGUUUUUGUUCGUAGGCUGUCUUGACAUACUUCAGCACCCGAUGCACGCAUCAGCACAGCACAAAUUAAAAUACUAUCACCAUGUCACUGUUCUGCUGGGAAUGGCCCACCACCCAAAAUAGGAGGUUAUCCAACAUCCAACAAGAUGCACCUUUACUAUCUAAUACAGUCAGGGAAAAGCUACAAAGCUGCUUUGAUUUCCAUUCUGUAUUUUCUUGAUCUACUGGAUACUCUACUGUACCACCCAUUUGGCUAAGCCAAAUCAUCUGAAGAUCUCACCCAAGCUGAACUUCUCAUCACUUACUGUAAAACAGUCGUGCAUGGUGCAAUAUUAUGCCAAUGCUUACACCGUUAGGUUCGACAACUGAUGGCAAGGGUCUGUAGCAAACUUCUUACAAGCAAUUAUAGAACCAAAGAAUUUAGGCUGGACUAAUUUGAUAUAUAUUCUGCCUCAAGCUUGGUUUGCUCUUUCACACAUCAGAGAAAUGCAUUCUUGCCUUAAAUUAAGGACAAACCACAGUGAGAUCACACAAGCAGCAUGCUAGUGAUAGAGUAGCCUAUUAAAGCCACUGUUUAGCAGUUACAAAAUCCAUCAGAGAUAGCCCAACCACUCCACUCAAUCCUACAUCAUCCAUCAACACCUGAUACCAAAACACUCUGUAAUGCCUACUCAAUGCAAUUACUUAACUGGAUCAAAAGUCUGCACCCAAAGCAUUGCUUUCAAAAGCUUCAGUACAUCCAAGCAAAUGAUACUUUCAGCUAAACACAACUAGGCAAGUGUUAUUAUUUGUCUAUCUACAUGUAUAUAAUAGUCAGCAUUGUAAGGUAAGUUAGUUAAAUUAGUUGGAUAUAUUACAAAUGGUAAUUGAGAGGAUAACACAAAUAUGUACCAAGCAAAAUAAGCAACAAAACAAGCACAGCCUGAGUUGUCAUGCCAUAAUAAUCUCCUUCAAAUUUCUCCAGAGCUAAGACACUACACAGAUGUUUGCAGUAAUAAUAAGUCUUUGCUAAUUGUUUCAGAGCAUCCAUUUAAAUUACGUAUUUCAGCUCUUUCUUAAGAUCCAAUUAUUUCUAGAAAUAAUAUUUAUUACUUUUAAAGACCUGCUCCAGUGUAAAUUAAGUUAAUGAAGAGCUAAGAGUGCAAGCAGCUGCUGGUGGUUGAGUUGUAUGUAAUUUUUUACCCAAAGGUCUAAGUUAGAAACCUUAAAGAAUCUAAUACAGCACAGAAUUGGAACUCAGCACAGAUGUCCCUACAACAUUCCUGCACCCUCUACACAGACACUUCCCACUUCCCAGUUGAAAGAGUCACAAGAGAAUGAGGAAGAUGAGAACCUAUCGAGUCGAGUAUGGGGAGAGGGGUUACAAAAAGGGCUUGGUGUUUUAUCAAUGCUUGUUUGUGGACACAAAAUCUGUCUUUGUCUCACCCCGAGGGCAGCUGAUAAAGGAAUUCUAGUGUCAGGGGGGCUUUGACCAAGUUUAUUUGACACUUCAGCUCCUUUUGUUUAAGCAAGUGUCUCACCAUCAAUACCCGCCAUGAGAGUCAUUUGGCAUUGGACAGAGAGUCCCUCUUCAGUGGAGAAAGGGGGUCUUGUUCAGAAAGGAUUUUAAUGGUGGGGGGGGGGGGGGGGGGGGGGUUUACAUAAAGGAGGCAAGAUUGCCCUGUUCUUUAUACAGGCACAUAGUGGGGUCUCUGUCCAUAGCGCUGACAAUAGAGGGGGUACAGAAGGGAGGAGGAGAGGCAGAAUCUUAAGAGAAGUCAGGCUCUUAAGACAUGUCCUUUCCUGUUUUAGUCAUGUCCAGUUCCCUAGCAUUCCUGCUUUUCCCAAUGGAAUGAAUGGAAUCCUGAGGGCAGAGGUGUUUUCUGUGAUCCCUCACCUGCAUAUGGCUACAAAGUUCAUGCCAUUUGUAACAACUUGGCAAAAGCUGUCAAAGUAGUUGAGAAAUAAUGAACAUUGCUUACAACAAGUUAGAAUAUUGCCUUUGCAGAAAACUAACAUCACCUUCUUCAUGUUCUUUAGCCGAAACAUCUCAUCACUCUUAAACAUAUAUUAUUAUUAAUAUUAUUACUAUUAUAAUAUACACACACAUACACACCCACACUGCCAUUUGCAAACAGCAGGCUUCCCCAUGACAGCUUGCAUGUCUUCAGGAGGCUAUUCUACUGCAUUGUUCUGGUGGAGAAUAGAGUGGGUGUGGGCCAUUCCCACUACUCAACCCCUAAAUCCUUUUAGCUGGGAGGAAAGAGGUCUAAUAGUGUGCUCUUAAGAGAUCUGGGUGGGCAGGGUGGGGUUUAUAAGAGCAGAACAUUAGUACAGAUCUUGUUCUUGUGUGGACAUUCGCAAUCCAACAAAAGCAACAAUUUUGCCAACACAAACAGUUUCGUCAUUGUUUCCCUUGUUCCAAAAUACAUUGUGCGUGAUCUACUCCAGUUAUGAGACCAUCACAAUGACGAACUCAUUCCAGUCUGCACAUAAAUGUUGCUUUGACCGAACACCCUUGCUCUGGCCUUAACACGGGUCAGCUUUUACAGCUCCCUGUCCACCCUUUGACAAAAUGUCAGCAUAAAUGGGUGCCUUCAUUCUCCUGUUUCCCCAAGUAUCAAUAGAAACAUCAUCACUUUACUUUACUCACACCUGAGUGGUGUCACUAUGCACAAGCUGUCAGGUCUCACAGAAUGUGAAUUAGACCUUUAAAUCACACCAAUAUGUAUACAAAGUCAUUCAAUAGUUAUGAAAGAUCUGCAUCCUGUAUUAAAAACUCCAUCUGCUCAGUAGUAAACAGGUGUCUGUCACCCUGCUGAGAACAAACAAACAAAAACAAUAGAAACCAUAACAGAAAUUCUAAUGGCUUCCACUACAAAUCAUCAGCUAAACAAUAAUAAUAAAAAAAAAAGUACCAUUACCAGUCCUUAAUGGUAGACAUAACAUGCCACCUAUAGAAGGCAACAAAUUACCAGUAGAGACCCACAGGGACCAUUGCUGUUUCCAUUAAAACCGAUACAUUUUCCAUUAUAACCAUUAAAACCAGUACAAAUUCAAUGAGGGUUUCUAUUGUUUUUUUUUUUUUUUUUCUUUUCAGUAGGGCAGUUUUAAUCCGGUGUCUUUCCUGCUGCCCUAUGACAAGUAUUUGAUGCUGUCAGUGAUGCACGAGGAUUGUCAAAAGAAAUGUGCAAAGGUUUUAGAGAGAGAGAGAGAGAGAGAGAGAGAGAGAGAGAGAGAGAGAGAGAGAGAGAGAGAGAGAGAGAGAGAGAGAGAGAGAGAGAGAGCGCAUGUGGCAAACUGGUGUAGCUUGGUUAAAACAGUCUAUGCCUUCAGUAGUUUAUUUGGAUAUGGAAAGCAGACCAAACAAACAAUAUUAGCCAUACUUAAAUAGCAUUCACACACCCAAUGCACAACCACAAAGUGAACUAAAAUCUAUCUGCCCUUGGUUGGCGCUGUUUUGCUGACUACGUUUAAGUGGGAGUAACGGUAUGAAAGCAGUUUUGUCCAACAGGUGAAUUUAUAUGGAAUUAACCAUUUUGUUUUUAAAAGUGAUUGCAACAUAAAAGAAUAAAUAUUAAAAAGGACUGGGUAGCUUCCACAAUCACACUGCUCAUGGAAAACUAUGAAAUAUUAAAGUGUGUGUGUGUAUAUAUGUAUAAGUAUAUAUAUAUAUGUAUAAGUAUAUGUAUAUAUGUGUAUGUUUGUCAGAUUAGCUGAAAAGUUAUACAAGAGUGAGACACUGUACCUGCUGCUUUUUAAAUCUCUGACAUGCAUAAAUUGCUUUACUCAGUCAGAGGCAACUUUAAAAAGGUCCAUUACUUCUUCAGUGAUCAGCGAUGGUAUCAUCCAUAAGCAGAUAUCCAAACUUUUCCAAAAUCAGCCGCAAUUUCCAGAGAGCAAAGGAAUUCCAGACUGAGCGCGUGCUUCUGUCGGAAUCCGCGACAGGCAAGAAGAUCCUGGGAAUCCCAGCACAGAUCCAUCCGAUCACGGAGACGAGGGAAUCUGAAAGUCUGAAACACAACGUGAGAAAAAACAGGAGUGGAUUCCCGGAACUGGAUUCCUGAAGAUGGCUGCGCUGUGUAACACAUCUAGUAGUGAAAUAAAGUGAACGGAGGCAAGACCAAUCAGACAGAGUCUACAGGAAAAUACUCGGAAAUACUUGUGUCUUAUUGGCUGACAGCUCUCAAUUCUGCCAAAUGCUAGCUCAAACAGUCAGUGUGAAUGAAAAUGGAUAUGGUAAACAUUUGAUGUCCGCACGCAAUCCUCAGAGAGUCUCCUCCCCCCACCUUCUCCGGCUUACUCACUCUGGCGUUUACCACCCCCCCAUACACACACACACACACACACACACACAGACUCACGCUAUCGCAUGCUCCCCAUUCUUCGCACAUUCUUCUUGCUCUGACUCAGCACCUGCUGAGUGCUUCGACUUGGUUCUUGCCGAGCCGUUACAUGCGCUUUUUACUGAUGUAGGACCAUUACCUGUUUAAUCUAGAUUUCAUUAUCAUUAUUUAAAAUGAAAAAAUAAAAUAAAAUGAUAGAUUUAA